rnacentral:rRNA from 1 species
GACGAACGCUGGCGGCGUGCUUAACACAUGCAAGUCGAGCGGUAAGGCCCUUUCGGGGGGUACACGAGCGGCGAACGGGUGAGUAACACGUGGGUGACCUGCCCUCAGCUCUGGGAUAAGCCUGGGAAACCGGGUCUAAUACUGGAUAUGACUCCAUGACGCAUGUUGUGGGGUGGAAAGCCUUGUGCGGCUGAGGAUGGGCCCGCGGCCUAUCAGCUUGUUGGUGGGGUGANGGCCUACCAAGGCGACGACGGGUAGCCGGCCUGAGAGGGCACCGGCCACACUGGGACUGAGACACGGCCCAGACUCUAC